rnacentral:misc_RNA from 1 species
GAUGAAGAACGUAGCGAAAUGCGAUAAGUAAUGUGAAUUGCAGAAUUCAGUGAAUCAUCGAAUCUUUGAACGCACAUUGCGCCCGCCAGUAUUCUGGCGGGCAUGCCUGUUCGAGCGUCAUUUCAACCAUCAAGCCCCCGGCUUGUGUUGGGGACCUGCGGCUGCCGCAGGCCCUGAAAACCGGUGGCGGGCUCGCUAGUCACUCCGAGCGUAGUAAUACAUCUCGCUCAGGGCGUGCUGCGGGUUCCGGCCGUUAAAAAGCCUUAUUUACCCAAGGUUGACCUCGGAUCAGGUAGGAAGACCCGCUGAACUUAAGCAUAUCAAUAAGCGGAGGA